GGCAGAGACCUAGGUAGAGGGAGAAGCAGGCUCCCUGCGGGGAGCCCUAUGCGCACUGGAUGCCAGACCCCGGGAUCACGCCCGGAGCCCAAGGCAGCCGCUCAACCACUGAGCCCCCCAGCGUCACAUUAUCACGAAUUUAGAAUAUGCGUUAGAAGGCGUGCUUUGCGCACUGUGACGGACUGCAUAUUGCUGCUGUGAUUCUUUAGGGUAAGAAGCCCCAGGUGCCCAGCAUCCAGAGCAGACCGGCUCGGCUCCACCGCAGGCACGCAGGGGCUGGGAUUCCCUCCCGCGAGCGGCAGCGACGUCACGGGCAGCUCCUCGGCGGCGGGGGCUGGAGCGCGGGAGGCGGCGGGCGCGCCGGGAGGGGCGUCGCUGGGAAUUUCCAGGGAAACACUGCAGCAGAUGGCCUGCCUGGCUGAGCUUCAGUGACACAUCUGCAGCACGGCUGGUGGGAAGGAUAUUUUCGGAAAAUCUAUGCUCUCUCAGAUGGUUUAUCUGUGAAUGAAAAAGAAAAAGAGAACAACACAUGGAUUAUUUGUUCUGGGCUGCUGCUACAGAUGGAGAUAAAGGAAAGUCAUACUACUUUUUGCCAACGUAAUGGAGCAGAAGAAUGGAGUUUGGGUGAAUAUUCCUGCAUUUUAUUUCUCAUUAAAAAGUUCAUUUAUAUUUGCUUAUCUCAAAUCUCUGAAAAGUUUUUCCAUAAUCACAAACCUUUCAUCAAAUUACAGUUCUGCUUCUGUCUGUGAAUAAUUAUGUAUGGUCAGAGAAAAAAAAAUAAAAGAGCAUUGAGCUUCUGUAUCUAGCUCCUG
rnacentral:lncRNA from 1 species